rnacentral:rRNA from 1 species
AAUGGACGAAAGUCUGACGGAGCGACGCCGCGUGGAUGAAGAAGGCCGAAAGGUUGUAAAAUCCUUUUGUCGAUGAAGAAUAAGCAUGGGAGGGAAUGCCCGUGUGAUGACGUUAGUCGGCGAAUAAGCCCCGGCUAAUUACGUGCCAGCAGCCGCGGUAACACGUAAGGGGCGAGCGUUGUUCGGAAUUAUUGGGCGUAAAGGGCGCGUAGGCGGUCCUGUAAGCCCGGCGUGAAAACCUGGGGGUCAACUCCGGGCCUGCGCUGGGAACUGCGGGACUAGAGUCAUGGAAGGGAAGUUGGAAUUCCAGGUGUAGGGGUGAAAUCUGUAGUUAUCUGGAAGAACACCAGUAGCGAAGGCGAUAUUCUGGCCGAUAACUGACACUGGGGUGCGAGGGCAUGGGUAGCAAA